CGUGACGAGUGGGAUUUGUGUCGUUCUGCUGAUGGCAAGAGAGACUGUUAACAUUUAUUUCCUAACUUCAGUGGUCUGUGUUUAAAAUAAACUCAGGCGUCAGUCUUUUCUCUGUUGUGUCUUUGUCUUACGUAGUUUUGCCUUUGAGCAAGCCAAUAUUUUUAGAGGUGGAGUGUGGAUAUUUUUCCUGGUACUUGUUUUGGUGACAUUAAAGCAAUUUUGAGCAUUUCAGCAGUGUCAGGAUGCCUGCUUUGUUCUCAGGUGAGAAGGGAGUUAAUCCUCUGUCCGUGUGUUUUAACCUAGGCAGGUGCAGCUCUAACUGCAGGCUUUAGCAGUGCCCUCUGAUGCUGUCCAGCUGUUGCACAUCAGCAGCUGAUGGCUGUGCUGCUGGAGGAGCAUCGCAGGGCACAGCAGCUGAGCAGAAGAGGCGAUUGAUACCACCUGAGGAGGAGGUCUGACCAUGUGUGAGUUUGCAAAGCCAAAAUGCCCCUGCAGGAGGAUCAGGUAACCAGCUCACCGCAGCCACUGAAGUGCUGCUUUUUCAUUUCCCCUUUUAUCAUCCAGAGUGAAGGUUCUGUGCCCCUUCUGUCUAUCACUAGGCUGAAAAUCCCUGUCUGUGGGUUACGCCACGAGGCUGGCUGUGCUGCCCCGUGGGAGUGCCAGCCCCUGCUCGGAAAUUCCACUCGGGGCCGUGACGCAGCGAGCGGCCCCGGGGUGCUGGGGUUAUGCAACUUCCUCACUGGUGAGGGGGAGGACGGGCGUGAAGGCAGAAUGAACAUUUGUGAAGCACGUUGGAGAUAAGUGGAGCACCUAGGAAUUUGUCUUAUUUGACAGACGUUGAGGUGCUUAUUAAUGCUACUGCUGCACGUUAAGAUCAGCUAGAACAAAAAAUAAUAACUUCAUAAAUGCAAAAUGUAGGUGUUUACCAGUGCGUAACGUUGGGUAGCGAUGAAUCAGGCUGCAAGGUGAUCAUAUUGCACGUUUGUAGGGCUUCCUCUCUCUGCCUGGGUAAAAGUUCAGCUUAUCUUAAGGUCCAGCAGCCUGAAGCACUGUGAAGUGUCCUCUUACGCUUUUAAACUUGACAUCAAAAAGUAACGUAGGUUGGAGGAGGCCUCUGGAGGUUUCAAUCCAACCACCUUGCUCAAAGGAGGCUCAGUUAAAGAUACUUAGAGCCUAGGCUUGAGUAUCUGAGGAUGGUGGAGAUCCCACAGCCUCUGGAGCCCUGGUCUGGUAUUUGACCAAUCCCUUAGUAAAAGAAUGCCAGAAAUCCUCAUGCCUAACUGAACCGCCCUGGGUUUCAGCCUGUGCCCAUUGCCUUCCUUCAAAGCACUGCACUGCUGAGAAGAGCCUUGGCUCUGGAUCCUCCACGCCAUCCUGCCACAGAGCUACAGAAAGCCCUAAAAUCCCUCUGCCUUUGUGCCUCCAAGCUGAACGAACCCACUUCUUGCAGCCAAACUCAUCCAGGUGUCCGUGGCCUUUAAUCAUUCAAGUAUUCAUUGAAGGCAUUGCAUGUAUUAAUGAGUGUUAAUGAGUUUUUUUUGUUCACCUGAAGUGUUCACAGUAAUUUUAUACGUGUUGUAUUGUGAGCAUGGUUCAAAUAUUCAUGUUUUCCUGUAGGUACCUCAGUUCAGAGUGAUGGAACAGCUUUGAAGGGCAGGAGCUUCCUCCCGCAGCUAGGUUUGUGCGUGCUCAUGUCCUAAAGAAACACGGCUCUGACACAAUCAGAUGCUGGAGCGAUCCACGUGAGGACACAGUGAGCAGGCUUUGUCUAGGAGGAGCCCAGCAGCCCUUCCUUCAGCCAAAGGACUGGGAGAGAGAAGAGAAAAAAGGCUUCCUCCUGAGCUGGAGCAUUGUCACAAUGGGGGAAAAGUGCCACAAGGGCCUGGUGCAGCAGGGCACGAUGCCCGAGCGCAUCGCUGUGCGUGCAGCGAUGGCGUUACAGCCCCUGCCACCCGUGGGUGUGCUGCGGGGGGCUCAGCGGCACCGCGCCGCCUUCCUGACGGGCUCAGGCAGGCUCCAGCACAGCAGCAACCAGCACAGGCCGAGGGCCUGGAGCAGCAGUAGCAGCUGUUGCUCCUGCUCACAGUGGGGAUCUGCUCUGUGAGACAUUUUCUGGUGAAUGGUGCGCCCUUCCUCAGCUGCUAAGGACAGCGAGACAGCAGGAACACACCUGCUUUGGCAGACCUCAUUGCUGGAGGUGCUCAAGUCCAAGAUUGCCUCUCAGGUCAAGCAAAGAAAAAACCAUUCCACCUCCUCGAAGGAGAUGGCUGCUGGCCUCCUCUCCGGGCUCGCUUUCCCAGUUUCACCAGAAGGAAAUGUAAGUAAACGCAGAUCCGUGUGGGAGCAGCUCUGCGGGGCAGGCAGCAGCACAGCCCUGCUGUCAGGAGGAACAAGGCGGAGGGCAGGGCUGCUGGCCCCCACUGCUGCUGGGCACGAGGGAGCAUCGCAAGCCGUGACCAGAAGGCUUUGUAGCUCUCGCAGCAGCUCAGUGCCCAGUGCAGGUUUCUGCCUCGGGCACUCAGUUCAAUCCUGUACGAGGCUUCUGGCCCAGCUGCAGCAGAAGCGAUGCGUUGCCUGUUUGUUUUCUGUGCUGAGCAGAUGGGCAGAGACCUUCUUCCUCCCUUCCUUGGGGCUGCACAGCUGGCAGUUACCUUUCAGGCUUUGUCCCAGGCAGGGGGUCUCCAAAUUCCACUGAAGCUAUGGGUGGGAGAGCCUUGGGUCCUGCUCAGGAGGUUGCAGUACAGCUCUGCACAGGAGCAGCUGGGGAAGCGAAGGGGAGGGACAGCGCAGGGCCCCCAGAGUUCACAGCAACCCCAGAACAAACCUCAAAGUGGGGGGACCAGGGCUCAGGGUUGAAAGGAGCUGUGUUGCCGCUGACCUGAGCUCAUUUCCUCCUCUAGAAAGAUCAAAGUUGAGCAAGAGAUUCCAGGAAAGGAUCCAGAGCAAUCCGUCACCUCGUGAUGCAAACGAGACAGGAGGACUUGAAAAAUGAAAAAGGUGCUCUUCCCUUCCCCCGUUAAAUUAAAAGUGUUCUGGAAAUAAAGGA